rnacentral:lncRNA from 1 species
CUGUGGGAGUCUGGUUGAGCUCCUGGAGGUGAAUCUCACAGUAUUGUUGGGUUGGGGAGGUCCCCCUUUGAUUGAGUCCACCUGGGGAGUUUUUAACUCUUAGCGUUGUCCUCAUUGAGCCUCCAACAAUUCAUCAACUUUAGUUCUGGGUUUUCUUCCCGGCGCUGGUUCCUGCAGUGGUAUCGGCUCCUGAUUCUCUGCUCAGAAUCUCCGAAACUUGAAAAUACCAAUUGAGAACUGAAAAUCUGAAGAUUUAUAGAGGAAGAAGAUUGGCCCUGAGCUAUCAUCCAUGCCCAUCUUCCUCUAUUUUAUAUGUGGGACUCCUGCCAUAGCAUUGUUUGGUAAGCGGUGCAUAGGUCCAUACCUGGGAUCCAAACCGGUGAACUUCAGGCCUCCGAAGCAGAGUACAAGAACUUAACCUCUAUGCCACCAGGCAUAACUGAAGCAUCGCAAGCCUUGGCUUACUGAGGCAAAUAUCCCUUACUACAUGGAAGAAGAUAAACAAAAGGAUUUCUUCCUGCAGGCAGCCUGGCUGCCCAAAGAACAUAGUAAGGAAGAAGCUCUAAGUCUUGAAGACUAAGAAUUAUGAGAAUUUGGAGCAACUUCCCUCAAGACAGGAACAUUUCAUGCAAGACAGAGAAGGACAUAGGAUUCAGAAUCUGACCAGAAGUGCAGACCCCUGCCUGUGUCCCACAAUUGCUACAGAUUGUGGUGAUUUUGCUCCAAUGACUAGUAUCAGCUGUGAAGAAUGGAAUUGUAAUUGUAUAUUUUAAACUGUAAAGGCUACAUUCAUAUAAUACCUCAUUUGAAGAUUUUGAAAAAUAUUUGCUACCACACAAAGAGGAUGAAAAUGGGAACUGGAAAAUAGUCUCCAUCAAUUAAAUCUGGUAAAUAGUUGUAUGCUUUUAUAUAGUGGACAUUUUCAGAAUUAAGUUGAUAAAAUGCCCCCAGCAUGGAAAACAUGAUAGCCAUUGCUAGCUAUGGUAUACAGGAAUGACUUUCUCUGUAUUUCUUCAAUGUCAAAUGUUAUUUGAAUUUAAAAUUUUGCUUUAAAUAAGCUUGAUAUGGAUAUCAAAUAAGCAAAUGUAAAUGUAUCUGAGACUCCAGUCUGUCUUUGUUUAGAAAAACUAGCUAUUUCCCGCCUAUAUUUUAUAAUUAUCACUAAUGUCAGUUACACAACCAGGAUGAGAACUAGACAAACACACAAAUGUGCAGUUCAGUUAAACUUCACAAUAUUAUCACAUUGCAAUUCAAUCAUGACACCAGUGUUCUUUUGCAAACUUAACACAUACACACAAACACACACACACACUCAGAAACAUAUAGGCACAUAUUGCGUUAAAAUUGUAUUGAAAAGAAAUACCAUGUUUUUAGCAAAACCAGGAAUCCAAAUACUAUUUACUUCAUUUAAGACAUAUUUUACGUCAACCUAUUGAACCUCUCCAUCACCCAAGCUACUCGUUCAUAACGGAAGCAGG